GCAUGUUUGUUGUUAUGGAUGUUUUUACUUCUGUUUCGAAGGCAAGAAGAAGAGAAAGAGUUUCAGUGACAUGAAGAGUGUGGAGUGAAUAACCUGCCAUGUGUAUUGCACAUGUACCGGAUCUGCUUGAUGAAAGUCUUACUAAAUUCAUCACCUGCAUGAUAAAGCAUCAGGAAAUUUAUAUUAAUGUGGAGUAAUGCU